AGAGUUUGAUCCUGGCUCAGGACGAACGCUGGCGGCGCGCCUAACACAUGCAAGUCGAACGAGCGAGAGAGAGCUUGCUUUCUCGAGCGAGUGGCGAACGGGUGAGUAACGCGUGAGGAACCUGCCUCAAAGAGGGGGACAACAGUUGGAAACGACUGCUAAUACCGCAUAAGCCCACGGCUCGGCAUCGACCAGAGGGAAAAGGAGCAAUCCGCUUUGAGAUGGCCUCGCGUCCGAUUAGCUAGUUGGUGAGGUAACGGCCCACCAAGGCGACGAUCGGUAGCCGGACUGAGAGGUUGAACGGCCACAUUGGGACUGAGACACGGCCCAGACUCCUACGGGAGGCAGCAGUGGGGAAUAUUGCACAAUGGGGGAAACCCUGAUGCAGCGACGCCGCGUGGAGGAAGAAGGUCUUCGGAUUGUAAACUCCUGUUGUUGAGGAAGAUAAUGACGGUACUCAACAAGGAAGUGACGGCUAACUACGUGCCAGCAGCCGCGGUAAAACGUAGGUCACAAGCGUUGUCCGGAAUUACUGGGUGUAAAGGGAGCGCAGGCGGGAAGACAAGUUGGAAGUGAAAUCCAUGGGCUCAACCCAUGAACUGCUUUCAAAACUGUUUUUCUUGAGUAGUGCAGAGGUAGGCGGAAUUCCCGGUGUAGCGGUGGAAUGCGUAGAUAUCGGGAGGAACACCAGUGGCGAAGGCGGCCUACUGGGCACCAACUGACGCUGAGGCUCGAAAGUGUGGGUAGCAAACAGGAUUAGAUACCCUGGUAGUCCACACCGUAAACGAUGAUUACUAGGUGUUGGAGGAUUGACCCCUUCAGUGCCGCAGUUAACACAAUAAGUAAUCCACCUGGGGAGUACGACCGCAAGGUUGAAACUCAAAGGAAUUGACGGGGGCCCGCACAAGCAGUGGAGUAUGUGGUUUAAUUCGACGCAACGCGAAGAACCUUACCAAGUCUUGACAU
rnacentral:rRNA from 1 species